rnacentral:rRNA from 1 species
UACGGAGGGUGCAAGCGUUAUCCGGAUUUACUGGGUUUAAAGGGUGCGCAGGCGGAUAUGUAAGUCAGUGGUGAAAUCUCUAGGCUUAACCUGGAAAUUGCCGUUGAUACUAUAUAUCUUGAAUGCUGUGGAGGUAAGCGGAAUAUGUCAUGUAUCGGUGAAAUGCUUAGAUAUGACAUAGAACACCUAUUGCGAAGGCAGCUUACUACGCAGAUAUUGACGCUCAUGCACGAAAGCGUGGGGAUCAAACAGG